rnacentral:tRNA from 1 species
GCGCCCGUAGCUCAACAGGAUAGAGCAUCUGCCUUCUAAGCAGAGGGUUGGGCGUUCGAGUCGCCCCGGGCGCA